rnacentral:tRNA from 1 species
GUUGUGGCUCAUUGGUAGAGCGCUUGCCUAGCAUGUGUGAGGUACUGGGUUCAGUUCUCAGCACA